GACGAACGCUGGCGGCGUGCUUAACACAUGCAAGUCGAACGGAAAGGCCCUGCUUUUGUGGGGUGCUCGAGUGGCGAACGGGUGAGUACCACGUGAGUAACCUGCCCUUGACUUUGGGAUAACUUCAGGAAACUGGGGCUAAUACCGGAUAGGAGCUCCUGCUGCAUGGCGGGGUUUGGAAAGUUUCGGCGGUUGGGGAUGGACUCGCGGCUUAUCAGCUUGUUGGUGGGGUAGUGGCUUACCAAGGCUUUGACGGGUAGCCGGCCUGAGAGGGUGACCGGCCACAUUGGGACUGAGAUACGGCCCAGACUCCUACGGGAGGCAGCAGUGGGGAAUAUUGCACAAUGGGCGGAAGCCUGAUGCAGCAACGCCGCGUGCGGGAUGACGGCCUUCGGGUUGUAAGCCGCUUUCGCCUGUGACGAAGCGUGAGUGACGGUAAUGGGUAAAGAAGCACCGGCUAACUACGUG
rnacentral:rRNA from 1 species